UUGAAUGUGUAUUGGAUGCUACCCAAAAUACGAGUUCGAUGUUUUAUACAGAUCUACAGAUGUCAGAAGAAUUUAGACUUAUGUCAGCAAAAUAUGUGAAUUGUGCUCGCAAGAUGGUAAAGAGUGCGUCUGUGCUGCAGGAAACCAUGGAUGACGCCAUAGCGUACGGGCAGAAAGCAGCAUUUACCUUUGGGUGGGUCUGAAUCGGUAAUUGGCCCUGCCCACAUUUUUACAUGUUAAUUUGUUCAAUAAAAUUUUGAAUAUUCUGAA
rnacentral:lncRNA from 1 species